rnacentral:lncRNA from 1 species
GAGAGAGAGAGAGAGAGAGAGCCGAGUAUGGCUUAAGGAUGAAAGAAAAAUCCAAAAGCCAAAACCCCAUAUUUCUUUAUCCUUGAUCAUUCCGUAAACACCAUCAUCGUCUUCAUCUUCCACCAUAACUUUGAAAAUUUUAGAGAGAGAAAGAAAUGGGUGGAAGAUUGAAUCAUGGAUAAGGCUACGAGAGGAAUCAAGGAAGUAGAGGAGAGCAUCCUAACAAGAUCUAGUAACUCAUCUAGCAUCUAAUAGGAAGAAUCAAAUAAGCAAGUUCUUGAAAGUCUAAAACUCCAUUUCCCUCUUAAAGCUUCAGAUCUAGUAAGUAUUUGUGUAUAUUAAUGUUUUUG